rnacentral:rRNA from 1 species
GUCAAGUAAGAAUACCCGCUGAACUUAAGCAUAUCAAUAAGCGGAGGAAAAGAAACUAACUAGGAUUCCCUUAGUAACGGCGAGUGAACUGGGAAGAGCUCAAAUUUUAAAUCACUUUGGUGAAUUGUAAUUUGAAGAAAGUGUUUUGACUUUUCAGUUUAAUCUAAAUCCUUUGGGAUGAGGUAUCAUAGAGGGUGAGAAUCCCGUUUGUGAUUAAACCUCGGAUUGCACUAAUUCACUUUCUAAGAGCCGAGUUGUUUGGGAUUGCAGCUCUAAAUGGGUGGUAAAUUUCACCUAAGGCUAAAUAUAUGCAAGAGACCGAUAACGAACAAGUACCGUGAGGGAAAGAUGAAAAGAACUUUGAAAAGAGAGUUAAACAGUACGUGAAAUUGUUGAAAGGGAAACGAUUGAAGUCAGUCAUGCUAGUGGGGAAUCAACUUGGUGGUUUUUCCUCCUCGUGUACUUCCUUGCUCGGCAGGUUAGCAUCAAUUUCGGUUGUCAUCAAAUAAUUGGGGGAAUGUGUCUUUCUUCGGGAAGUGUUUAUAGACCCUGGUUGAUGUGGCGACUGGGAUUGAGGAUUGCAGCGGAUGCCUCUGGCUAGUCACCUGUCUACUGACGGUCACCUCGCUUUCGACAGCUUGCUAACGAUGGUGAGAUUUGGCUGUCUAGUAUUCAGAGAUCACAUAAAUUCGCUAAGGAUGCUGACGUAAUGGCUUUAAACGACCCGUCUUGAAACACGGACCAAGGAGUCUAACAUAUGUGCGAGUGUU